rnacentral:rRNA from 1 species
GUGGGGAAUUUUGGACAAUGGGCGCAAGCCUGAUCCAGCCAUGCCGCGUGUGGGAAGAAGGCCUUCGGGUUGUAAACCACUUUUGUCAGGGAAGAAACGGCUUUUGAUAAUACCGAGAGCUAAUGACGGUACCUGAAGAAUAAGCACCGGCUAACUACGUGCCAGCAGCCGCGGUAAUACGUAGGGUGCGAGCGUUAAUCGGAAUUACUGGGCGUAAAGCGUGCGCAGGCGGCUUUGCAAGACAGAUGUGAAAUCCCCGGGCUCAACCUGGGAACUGCAUUUGUGACUGCAUGGCUAGAGUACGGUAGAGGGGGAUGGAAUUCCGCGUGUAGCAGUGAAAUGCGUAGAUAUGCGGAGGAACACCGAUGGCGAAGGCAAUCCCCUGGACCUGUACUGACGCUCAUGCACGAAAGCGUGGGGAGCAAACAGG